GGCUGGUCCGAAGGUAGUGAGUUAUCUCACUUGAUUGUUCAGUCAGUUACAGAUUGUACUCCUUGUUCUACUACUUUCCCUCCUCCUCACUACUGCACUUGACUAGUCUAAA
rnacentral:Y_RNA from 1 species